rnacentral:rRNA from 1 species
AUUGAACGCUGGCGGCAUGCUUUACACAUGCAAGUCGAACGGUAACAGGCCGCAAGGUGCUGACGAGUGGCGAACGGGUGAGUAAUGCAUCGGAACGUGCCCAGUCGUGGGGGAUAACGCAGCGAAAGCUGCGCUAAUACCGCAUACGAUCUAUGGAUGAAAGCGGGGGACCGUAAGGCCUCGCGCGAUUGGAGCGGCCGAUGUCAGAUUAGGUAGUUGGUGGGGUAAAGGCUCACCAAGCCGACGAUCUGUAGCUGGUCUGAGAGGACGACCAGCCACACUGGGACUGAGACACGGCCCAGACUCCUACGGGAGGCAGCAGUGGGGAAUUUUGGACAAUGGGGGCAACCCUGAUCCGGCAAUGCCGCGUGCAGGAAGAAGGCCUUCGGGUUGUAAACUGCUUUUGUACGGAACGAAACGGCUCUGGUUAAUACCUGGGGCUAAUGACGGUACCGUAAGAAUAAGCACCGGCUAACUACGUGCCAGCAGCCGCGGUAAUAC